AACGAACGCUGGCGGCAUGCCUAACACAUGCAAGUCGAACGAGACCUUCGGGUCUAGUGGCGCACGGGUGCGUAACGCGUGGGAAUCUGCCCUUGGGUUCGGAAUAACUUCGGGAAACUGAAGCUAAUACCGGAUGAUGACGUAAGUCCAAAGAUUUAUCGCCCAAGGAUGAGCCCGCGUAGGAUUAGGCUAGUUGGUGAGGUAAAGGCUCACCAAGGCGACGAUCCUUAGCUGGUCUGAGAGGAUGAUCAGCCACACUGGGACUGAGACACGGCCCAGACUCCUACGGGAGGCAGCAGUGGGGAAUAUUGGACAAUGGGCGAAAGCCUGAGUCCAGCAAUGCCGGCUGAGUGAUGAAGGCCUUAGGGUUGUAAAGCUCUUUACCCGGGAUGAUAAUGACAGUACCGGGAGAAUAAGCUCCGGCUAACUCCGUGCCAGCAGCCGCGGUAAAGUGACUACUG
rnacentral:rRNA from 1 species